rnacentral:lncRNA from 1 species
GAUUGUAGAACUGACUGCCCCCUUCCAGGCAUUGACGGUUCAUGGAUGGAAGUCUUGCCUGCAGGAAGUAGCAGCAGAUCCCGUGAAUCCAUUAAUUAAGAUGGCUGAGUUCAGUUGUACUUCUCGGGUGUGUACAGCAGCUGGACAGACUCCAGGGUGGAGGGGACAAAUCCAUCCCUGUCCCAACCGCCAUCUGUUCCAGCUUUGCCUACUCAUGGCCAGUGAAUACUUUUUAGUUUAGAUUUUUUUGUUCAUUGCACAAUACUUGGGCAGUACUUUCGGUGGACUAACAGCACAUCUGGAGCUUUAAUAAAGUAGUAAAUAGUGAAUUGAUAUAUAUAUUAAAAAAAAAAAGUACGGUACGUUUCCAUGGAGAGCCCAACCAGUGGCAGUUGAACCCAGGUCUCCACAGCUGGUUUCCAUAGAGGCUGCACUCGACAGGAGUUGAGCCCAUGUCUCCAGAGAGGAUCUCCAGCAGCGUGUAUCUGCUGCGCCACCGUGAUGCCACCUGUGAUUGGUCAGGGAUUCUAAUUGACAUUGUAAUCCACAUGGCAUUGCUAUGGUUCCACAAAGACGUCACGAUGUUGGGUUUCCAUGGAGACCGCCCUUAGCAGUAGCCUAAUUGAGCCAAGGGCCUGAUAACCAACAGGCCUAUUUGCUGCAUCAGCUAUGCUAUAAGGUAUGGCUGUACCCUCCGCGUCCGUUAAUGAGAUGAAGCCUAUUUAGAUCUCCAGAUAAUCUCUUGCAGGACAGGAAAGCGGGGCGGGGGGGUUGUAAGGAGUCAUUAGUCUAUCUCAUUAAGCGACCAAGCAAGCAGUUCAUGAAACAACACUCCAAUUGGUGGUGGUGCACUUCACAACAACACUUGGACUAUAGCAGUGCCAUUUCCCAGAUCCCCAACGCCUGGGAGCGACAUUGCUGUCAUCAAGGCAUCCCGUAUUGCGGUGUGAUACUUUGGCACCUCCAGACGACCUUCGGAAAGGGGUACCAUCCAUCCGAAGUGCCCCCAAGUCGCAACCUCCAACCUGACCAGAAGUCUUCCACUAUGGAUUCCAUGAAGUCCCUGGGGGCCCCUUUUGCCAGCUGUGUUUACUGGGCCAACCCCGGCAAGAAGACGCCGUCCGUCCGCAGAAACAGCUUCACGCGUAGGAAGAGCAUCGGAGCGCGUCGGAUGUCCCUUCCCGGCAAGGGCAUCGGCCGACGGAAGUCUCUGCCCUGUAGGCCUAGCCAAAAGGUCCCAGAGUCCUGGCUCACGGUGUACCAGGCUGACCUCCAGAAGGAAAGGAAACGACAGCAAGCAGUGCUGGCCAAGAAGAACGCAGAGAGGUCCAUCGGAAAGACCCACUUCAGGAGCCAGCACUGUCUUCCAAGGAAGCCCAGCAACCCAGCCAGAAAGCCUGCAUCCAAGCGCAACCAAAAGUCAUUAUUCGGGGCCUUCCAGGGCCUCAGCCUGGAUGGGGCUAUGGGAGGUGGGCGGGGCGCGGCUGCCAGAGCCUCCGCUGGGGGAGACCCGUGCAAAGUUAUGUAA